rnacentral:rRNA from 1 species
GGAUUGCAGGCUGCAACCCGCCUGCAUGAAGUUGGAAUCGCUAGUAAUCGCGGAUCAGCAUGCCGCGGUGAAUACGUUCCCGGGCCUUGUACACACCGCCCGUCACACCAUGAGAGUCGGGAACACCCGAAGUCCGUAGCCUAACCGCAAGGGGGGCGCGGCCGAAGGUGGGUUCGAUAAUUGGGGUGAAGUCGUAACAAGGUAAC